AGGGAUGGGACGCAUCCCCGGGGGAUGCUCCUCCAAAGCUUUUAUCGGGCGAGCGCAGUGGCUCACGCCUGUAAUUCCUGCACUUUGGGAGGCUAAGGAUGAAAGGCUUCCUAGCACAAACACCACCCCUGGAGUUCCCGGUACAUCAAUACCAGCCUGGGGAUCACGUUCUCAUCAAGAGUUGGAAGAGGGAAAGCUUGAACCAGCUUAGGAGGACCUCAUCUGGUACUCUUGAUGAAUGAAACAGCAAUCUGAAUGGCUGAAAAAGGAUGGACCCAGCACUCCAGAGUCUCACACUGUCACCAGGCUGGAGUGCCGUGGCGCAAUAUCAGCUCACUGUAACCUCCACCUCCCAGGUUGAAGUGAUUCUCCCAUCUCAGCCCCCAAGUAGCUGGGACUACAGAGUCGCACCCUGUCACCCAGCAUGGAGUGCAGUGGUGCAAUCUUGGCUCAAUGCAACCUCCACCUCCCAGGUUCAAGUGAUUCUCCUGCUUCAGCCUCCCAAGUAGCUGGGAUUACAGGUGCACAUCACCACACCCAGCUAAUUUUUGUAUUGUUAGUAGAGAUGGGGUUUCACCAUGUUGGCUGGGCUGGUCUCGAACUCUUGACCUCAAAUGAUCUGCCCACCCCCACCUCCCAAAUUGCUGGGAUUACAGGCAUAAGCCCCCACACCCAGCCUGACCACAUUUGUUUUAGAAAAGCGCCUUUCCAUGCAUUCACUUCUUCAAGUUUUUUUUUUGUUUUGUUUUUGUUUUUUUUUUUGAGAUGGGGUCUUGCUAUGUUGCCUAAGCUGGUCUAGAACCCCUGGGCUCAGGCCACCCUCCCAAGUAGCUAAAACUAUAGGCAUGCAUCACCACAUCAUUUCAUUGAAGUAUUUAUUAGGUACCAUCAUGAGCUAGGUGCAGUUCUAGGUAUUGAGUUUUAUCAGUAAAUAAACAUGAUCAUCACAGAGGAUGUGAAGGAAGCAUUUAAUAAAUUCAAGAGGAAUUCAGCCUCAUAAACUAUGAAAUAUUGGGAAAUAAUUCAUCAUGUAAAAACUGGAUAUAAAGAAAAAACUUUUCCUGCAGGACAUUGUUGCAGGAAGUCAGGGACCCCAAACGGGGGGACUGGCUGAAGCCAUGGCAGAAAAACAUGGAUUGUGAAGGUUUCAUGGACAUUUAUUAGUUCCCCAAAUUAAUACUUUUAUAAUUUCUUAUGCCUGUCUUUACUGCAAUCUCUAAACAUAAAUUGUAAAGAUUUCAUGGACACUUAUCACUUCCCCAGUCAAUACCCUUGUGAUUUCCUAUGCCUGUCUUUACUUUAAUCUCUCAAUCCUGUCAGCUGAGGAGGAUGUAUAUUACCUCAGGACCCUGUAAUAAUUGCAUUAACUGCACAAAUUAUACAGCAUGUGUGUUUGAGCAAUAUGAAAUCUGGGCACCUUGAAAAAAGAACAGGAUAACAGCAAUGUUUAGGAAACAAGAGAGAUAACCUUAAAUUCUGACCGCCGGUGAGCCAGGUGGAACAAAGCCACAUUUCUCUUCUUUCACAAGCAAAUGGGAGAAAUAUCACUGAAUUCUUUUUCUCAGCAAGGAACAUCCUUGAGAAAGAGAAUGCACACCUGGGAGUGGGUCUCUGAACUGGCCCCCCUGGGUGUAGCCAUCUCUUAUGGUCGAGACUGCAGGGGUGAAAUAGACCCCAGUCUCCCAUAGCACUCCCAGGCUUAUUAGGAAGAGGAAAUUCCCACCUAAUAAAUUUUAGUCAGACCAGUUGAUCUCAAAACCGUCUCCUGAUAAGAUGUUAUCAAUGACAAUGGUGCCCAAAACUUCAUUAGCAAUUUUAAUUUCACCUUGGUCCUGUGAUCUCGCCCUGCCUCCACUUGCCUUGUGAUAUUCUAUUACCUUGUAAAGUACUUGAUGUCUGUGACCCACACCUAUUUGCACACUCCCUCCCCUUUUGAAAAUCCCUAAUAAAAACUUGCUGGUUUUUGCGGCUUGUGGGGCAUCACGGAACCUACCGACAUGUG
ensembl:lncRNA ZNF561-AS1 ZNF561 antisense RNA 1 (head to head)